rnacentral:lncRNA from 1 species
AUCAAUAUUUAGUAAGGGUGGAAGUAGCAAUUUGGAUAAAUGAACACUUAUUCAAGUAUCUAUAUCAAUAUCUAAUAAGAGUAGAAGUAGCCAUUUGGAUAAAUGAACACGAACUCAAGAUAGUUGUUUUUAUUAUAACAUGCUGGUUAAACAACUCUCUUCGGAAGGAGCAAUUUGGAUAAAUGAACCCGGAGAAGUAGCAAUUUGGAUAAAUGAACCCUGAAGUAGCAAUUUGGAUAAAUGAACUCGGAGAAAUAGCAAUUUGGAUAAAUGAACCCAUACUCAAGUAUCUAUAUCAAUAUCUAGUAGAGAUGGAAGUAGCCAUUCGAAUAAAUGAAUAGGGACGGAAGAUAGUUGGAUUCAAGUAUCUAUAUCAAUAUCUAGUAAAAGUGGAAGCAGCCAUUUGGAUAAGUGAAUACAGACGCAAGAUAAUUGUUUUUAAAUAAUGAUAUUACAAUAGGCUGGUUAAACAACUCUCCCCGGUUGAAGUUUCUCCAACGUCUUCCUCUCUCAUGGUUGAACAAUUCUCUGGAUUGAAGUUUCAUCGUCUUCCGCUCGCAUGAAGUUUUUUUUUUUCAUCUUUCCUCCCUCAUGUCUUCUUUUUACUUUUCAUUGGUAGUAAAAACCUCACCGGAGUAGUUUGGCUAGAAUAGUUUGGUAGUAAAAACCUCACCGGAGUAGUUUGGCUAGAAUAGUUUGGCUAACUGAGUAGUGUGGUGAGCACUAGGGAUUGAAUUUCAGUAAGAAACUCCUUAUACAAAUCAAAAUUAUCCAAUAAAAACGGAAAAAAGUAUGCACAAAAUUGAUAAAAGUUGAGGAUUUUUUCAAUUAAGUGAAAAUAAAAGUAUAUUUCUGAAAUUUUCCUACAAUUAAUUUAAAUAAAAGACCAACAUACUCUAACAAAAUUAAAAAAAUUAGAAGUAUUUUAGUCAUUUUUUAUUUAAAGAAAAAAAUUUUGGUCUCUUGUACAAAUGUCAAAAGGGUGAGACAGUUGAGUUCCCAUAAUUUGUACUUAGUGCGAUGUUUAUGAAAGUACAUAAAAUUAAAAUGCGAUAUGCACUAACAAAAAGUAGAACUUGAACAACUUGGCGAAAAAAGAAAGUUGAACAUAAAUGUAAAAUAUAAAAUAUAUGUGAUUAUUUUUUAAUAUUAAUAAUAAAAUCAGAAAUAUACCGUAAAUAUUAAUCACCAUGAUAAUGAUAUUUAAAUAUUUAGUAUAAUAUAAUAUUCGUAUAAUAAUUUAAUUACUAGAAUAAUCAUGAGACAUUGUAUAUAACAAUCAUAAUAAUAAUAUAUAAUUAAAAGAAGCAUUAUAUAGUAAUACUAUAUUGAUAAUCAACUAUUUUUAUAGCAUAAUAUUUGUCCUUUAAUAAUAACACAAUAUAAUAUGCUAUAUAUAGUAUAUUACAGGGAAAUUUAUAUCGAUACUGGUUUUUUAAAUCGUUAUAACAAAAUGGCCCUAAAAUAGGUCGUUAUUGCUCAAAGAGAAGCCCCUCUCGAAAUUUUUUAUUUUUCUUGUGAUAAAUUUCGCCGAUCUGUUGUUCCUACGAACCUACCGCGGUUAGAACUAAUUUUUUAAAAGGUUUAAAGCAUUUAUACGUUUGUUUAAAGCGGGUUAGAUGUUUUAAAGAUGUUCCUACGAUCCUACCGCGUUUAGAACUCAUUUUUCAAAAGGUUUAAGCAUUUAUAUGUUUGUUUAAAGCGGUUUAGAUGUUUUAAACGUUUAAGGUAUCUAUAUCUCUGUUUAAGCCGGUUUGAUGUUUCUAACAUAGAACUGCAUUUAGGGCUCAUUUUUUAAAGGAUGUCUGAUAUUUCUAACAUCGAAAGACCUCUUUUUUUUUUAAGGUUUAAGAUUGUCCGAUAUUUCUAACGUUUAGAUCUCAUUGUUUUUAAGGUUUAAGGCGGUCUAAGGAAACCUUCAAAUAAAAUAAAAAAUGAGGAGAGAAGUACCUCCCCAUAAAUAUCUUAUAUUUUUUAACCAUCAUGUAAUAAUGGUCAAAAUAAAGCGGUACAGACAUAAUUUUCCUUAUAAUAUAACACAAUACAAUACAACAAUUUAAAAUAAAUAUCAAUAUAUUAUGAAAAAGUUUUUAUACAGCCAAGGCUAUAAACAAGCUCAACUCAAAAAUUUCACUAGAUGAGGUUAUUUUGAUGCCAAAUAUCUUCAAAUUGAUUAUCUCGAUAUCAAGAUGCAUGAAUAUGAAAAAAAAAAGAGAUUUUAAGAUUUGGAAAUAAAGAAUCUUGUAUGCGUUUUUUUACUAUAAAUUUUCAAUAUUUUCAAGUUUUCAUAGAUCUACUUAAUCUACACUAUUUUUAAAGCUUUAAUUUUUAUAAUUAGAGAUGAAACUAUAUUUUAAGGCUAUCACAAAGAUUCUCAGCAUUGAAACCACAUUUCUCAAUGCUAUUUGAAGGCGAGAUUUACUUUGAUUGUUUUGAGCCUCACCUCUAUACAAACCGCACCCAUUUAUUUUAGUAUAGUAAUAAUAACUUACCUUAAUAAAUUUGUAAUGUUAUAAUUUGGUUAUUUUUUAAUAUUUUUAAAAUAAAUCAUUAUGAAGAAUAUAAAUGAUUGAAAAGUGAAUAUGGUUUAUGGAAUUGAUUUAUAUAUUAUACUAAAUAAAUAUACAUUUUUUAGGGAAAUGGUUUUAAUGAGUCAGUUGUCCCCUACCAAAAUUUAACUUAAACAUGGAUUUUAGAUCCAAAUAACUUUAUAGUCUCAUUCACAAUGAUUAUGAAUCGGAGAAAAAAAAAACAAAAAAAAAUCUAAAAAUGAUUUUCCUUGUUUUUGUACUGGACCUUUUAGUUUUUGGCAGAGGACAGCUCGUUGAUGCGAUAAAUAUUUUUCUAUUUUUAUUUCCUCAUUCCUUUUUGUAGAUCAUAAUAUUUAUAUAUUUCUCUUAGUAUAUCAAGUUUAAUAAUUAAUUCAUAUAGUUUGUUUAUUCAUAAUGAUAAAUAAGGAAGCGCAGAU